rnacentral:rRNA from 1 species
GUCUAGGGCCAUACCACCCUGAACAUGCCUGAUCUUGUCUGAUCUCAGAAGCUAAGCAGGGGUAGGCCUAGUUAGUAUUUGGUUAGGGAAAUUGAAUUAAAGGACACAAAGUUAAAUAUUAAAGUUUUAGGUU